AUAUAUGCCACCUCAAUUAAUGAGGGAGAUCUGAUGGCUCUUAUUUUUUUAUUUAUAUUUUAUUUUCUGAUUUUUCAUUUAAUCCUUUUAUUUUAAUUAAUUCAUAUCAAUUUCAUUUUUAAUCCAAAAAAUAUGGGACUUUCACAAAAAAAAUCAAAUAUUUUCCUCUUUCAUUUUAUCAAUUAAAAUUAUUUUUUGGAUUAAUUUUGAUAUUUUUCAUGAUUUAAUUG
rnacentral:lncRNA from 1 species